rnacentral:rRNA from 1 species
GGGACACGUGGUAUCCUGUCUGAAUAUGGGGGGACCAUCCUCCAAGGCUAAAUACUCCUGACUGACCGAUAGUGAACCAGUACCGUGAGGGAAAGGCGAAAAGAACCCCGGCGAGGGGAGUGAAAAAGAACCUGAAACCGUGUACGUACAAGCAGUGGGAGCACCUUCGGGUGUGACUGCGUACCUUUUGUAUAAUGGGUCAGCGACUUAUAUUCUGUAGCAAGGUUAACCGUAUAGGGGAGCCGCAGGGAAACCGAGUCUUAACUGGGCGUUAAGUUGCAGGGUAUAGACCCGAAACCCGGUGAUCUAGCCAUGGGCAGGUUGAAGGUUGGGUAACACUAACUGGAGGACCGAACCGACUAAUGUUGAAAAAUUAGCGGAUGACUUGUGGCUGGGGGUGAAAGGCCAAUCAAACCGGGAGAUAGCUGGUUCUCCCCGAAAGCUAUUUAGGUAGCGCCUCGUGAACUCAUCUUCGGGGGUAGAGCACUGUUUCGGCUAGGGGGUCAUCCCGACUUACCAACCCGAUGCAAACUACGAAUACCGAAGAAUGUUAUCACGGGAGACACACGGCGGGUGCUAACGUCCGUCGUGAAGAGGGAAACAACCCAGACCGCCAGCUAAGGUCCCAAAGUCAUGGUUAAGUGGGAAACGAUGUG